GCCAGUGAGUGGCAAGCUGUGGCUGUGUCAAGCUGGGGAUGGUGAACCCCGGCUGGAAUCCACUCAGGGAUGUUCUCACCUCCAGACGUAAGCUCUUCUUGGAGUGGAAUUGCCUCGUGGCCCUGAAUUCUACCCUCAGGGAGGAGGAGGAGGAGUUAGCUCCAAUUCUGGCCGAACUCCCCAGCAGGAGAGGCUGAUGAUGACAAGCUCUGGAUUGUUCUUGAUACAGCACACUACACUGUCCAUCACUUG